GCUGGGAGAAUUAUUGAUGAGUUGAGUUUUAUUUUAGUUUAAUUAAAAUAUUGAUUUGUAGAAUUAAUUUAUUGAAAUUAUUGGUUAUAUAAUAGUGUAUAGUAAUGUGGAUGAAUUUUUUGAGGUGGAAUGAAGAAGGGGGUUUCUGUACCUUGUGUCUCAGGGUUAAUUAAUUUUUUUGUUUUAUAGUUGUUUCCCGAAUCUUUAGGAGCUAAGCUAAUAUAAAUAUAUUUAUGUGAAAAAAUAAUUUUAAAUAUUGGUUUAGAAAUGAAACGUUAAUCGUCUAAUGAUAUAUCUGGUUAUUCUAGAAAUCAAUUUAAUUGAGGGUUUAAUUGGGGAGAAUCUAUUUUUAGGUUUUACUUGAAUUUAAGCUUAAAAUGUUCUGGGGAUAAGCUCGGUUCAUUAAUUCUAUAAAUUUGAAAUUUGUAAUUAUUUGUAGUAUUGGAAUUUUACAUUUUAUUUUGUUAUAAAUAUUAAUUUGAAGUUAUAAUUUUUUUUUUUUUAGGUUUUUUAUAGAUUUUUAAUUUUAAAUGUUAAAUUUUUAGUGAUAAUGGUUAAAUUAGUAAAAUUAAAUUAAGUAGUUUAUUUUAAAUUUGAUUUUAGGUAAAUUUAAGGAAUUCGGCAAAAUAAUUUUUCACCUGUUUAUUAAAAACAUGUCUUUCUGAUUUGAUAGAAGGUCUGGCCUGCCCACUGAUUAUUUGAAUGGCUGCAGUAAUUUGACUGUACAAAGGUAGCAUAAUCAUUAGUUUUUUAAUUGGAAGCUGGAAUGAAUGGUUGGAUGAAAAAGUUACUGUCUCUAGUUUAUUUUUUGAAUUUUAUUUUUGAGUAAGAAAGCUUAAAUGUUUAUAAAAGACGAGAAGACCCUAUAGAGUUUAAUAAUAAAUUCUUUUUAAUUUUAGGAAUUCAUAGAUUGAUAAGGAUAAUUUAUUUGAUUGGGGUGAUUGUAGAAUUGGAGAAACUUAUAUUUGUAAAAACAGAAAUUUCUGGGUUUUUGAUCCAUUUUUUGUGAUUAAAAGAUUAAAUUACCUUAGGGAUAACAGCGUAAUCUUUUUUGAGAGUUCUUAUCGAUAGAAGGGUUUGCGACCUCGAUGUUGGAUUAAAGUUUAUUGUGGGUGUAGAAGCUUGAUAAUUAGGUCUGUUCGACCUUUAAAACUUUACAUGAUCUGAGUUUAAACCGGUGUGAGCCAGGUUGGUUUCUAUCUUUAUUAUAUUAUUUUGCUUUAGUACGAAAGGACCAGGUAAUAGAUUAAUAAUUUUGUUUUUGAUUAUUAUU
rnacentral:rRNA from 1 species